rnacentral:lncRNA from 1 species
AGUUGAGUUCGAGAAUUUGAACUCGGCCGAUGGACAGUUUGCUCGGCCGCUGUAGUUGAAGAACUCGGCGUUGAAGACGUCGCCCGCUGAAUUGAAUUCUCGAACUCGGCCGAUGGGCAAUUUGCUUGGCCGCUUUAGUUGAAUUCGGCCGCUGGAAAAGGUUCUCGGCUGCUGGAGAAGAUGCUCGGCCGCUGGAGGUUUGUACUUGGUGCUGAAUUGAAGAUUUCGGCCGAUUAGAAGAGAAAUCGACGCUGGAAAUUAAAACUCGGCUGCUUGAGGAAGAACUCGGUGGCUGGAAUAUUAUUCUCGGCCACUGGAUUGAAGACUUCGGCCGAUUGAGAUAACUCGGCUGCUCGGGAAGGACGAAGCUGAUGGCGCUGUUGGCGGGACUGGAGGACAG